rnacentral:lncRNA from 1 species
ACACAAACAUGGUGUUGGAGGGAAAGUUUAAUAAGUGAAAGAAAUAAAGCUCUCUGCAGCAGAGAGAGGAGUCAGAGUGGAUUGCCAGGUUACAGCUGAGAAACCCCUCUCAUCUCUGUAGCAGUUUGAGUAACUUCUCUUAUCAGUAAGGCUGUCUGUGCGACGCCCCUUAUCUCAUGCAGCUGUGGGUAUGUUUUUAGGUAAGCACAAAGCACAGCUUCUCUUGUUUGUAUACUGUGAGUUUGUUUUAGGUAAUCCCCCCUCCUCCGUGUGCAAGUUCUCACCAUGUAUCUGACUGAAAAAGGGAGAAAAUUUUUUCCUGGGAGCUUGCUAAUUAGACAAAGAAUAAAGAACUCCUGUGCGGGAUCCUGUUUGUUUAUCUGUCCAGGUCCAGCCUGAGUUUUGUUUUGUUUUAUUUUCCCCAGGUUGUUUUAUUUUUGUCUGUUCCAGCAACUUUUCAGGCAGGCUGCUUCUGCACUCUGAAUUUUUCCCAAAUGAUUUUUCCCACUUUCCUUCUCCCUUAGAGGCAUCCUGAACUACUCUGUUUGUCUUGGCAAAACCUUAGAGAAAAGGCUGCAGGUGUCUGGUUAGGCUGAAACUAGGGACUGUGGCCUAAAAAGCUCAUGUGAGAGGCUGGACUAGCUUAAUCUGUAACCGGGGAAGUGGGAUCAUCAGAACUGGAAGCUACACUGGGAGCUGAAUUGUAGGACAGCAGCAGCAGCAGGUUCCUGGGAGGUCUCCGGGGACCAAGACUGCAGACAUUGAAUUUCCUGGCAAUCUUGGUUGUCCUCUGUAUAAAUGAAUCAUUGUUUAUCAUUCUGCAGACGCUUCUGGUGUUAGAAUUUUACACUCAUACCCUUUGUUAUGUGAUUUUGCAGUGCCCUCCAUUAGUGUGAGUGCAGUAUACCUCCACCAAGCCCGGCAGCCCUGUAGCCUGAUGCAGAGCCUCCCAGCCAACCCACAGCCCUGAGGGCAAGGAAAACAAAAGCUCAUUGUUGUAUGCUCAUGGUUUGUUAUGCAGAAUUAUUAUAGCAUUUGCUGACUGAUACAUCUACCAAAUACCUGGUCUUUUCUUUCAUAAUAAUGCAAACCCCAAUUUUUAACUGGCUCUUUGGAAUAAGGCUAAAUUUCCCAGCCUUUCUUACAGCUAGAUAUGAUCAUACUAGUGAGUUCUGGUCAAUUAGAUGUUAGUAGAAGUGGUUGGGCAUGGUGGCUCACGCCUGUAAUCCUAACACUUUGGGAAGCUUAGGCAGGCGGAUCAUUUGAGGUCAGGAGUUUGAAACCAGCCUGGCCAACGUGGUGAAACCCCAUCUGUACUAAAAAUACAAAAAAAGUUAGCCAGGUGUAGUGGCGGGCGCCUAUAAUCCCAGACACUCGGGAGGCUGAGGCAGGAGAAUUGCUUGAACCCAGGAGGCGAAGGUUGCAGUGAGCCGAGAUAGCAUCAUUGCACUCCAGCCUGGGCAACAAGAGUGAAACUCCGUCUCGAAAACAAACAAACAGACAAAACAAACAAACAAACAAACCCCACAAGGCUACCAAAAGAUUUGAGCAAGAACAUUCAUAGCAGCAUUAUCUGCUAUAGCCUCCAACUUGAAACAAUUCAAAUAUCCACCAAGGGGAUUGAAAAAAUACUGUGAUCUAUUCAUGCUCUGCAGCAAUGAAAAUAAACACAUUUAAGCUACCUGCAGCAACAUGGAUGAACCUUACAGGUGCCAUUUUGAGUGAAAGGAAGCAGACACAGAGAGUCCACACUAUAGGAUUUCUUUUAUACAAAGUUCAAAAUCAGGCUAACCUAACCUAUGUAACGGAAGUCAGAGGAGUGGCUGCCACAGCAGGAAAACACUGAGAGGGUGGUGACCGUAAAGAGCCAUGAGGCAGGCUCAGGAAGACAGGCAAUGUUCUGUUUCUUGGCCUAGGUGGCUACAUGGUAUGUUCACUUAGAGAAAAUUUAUUGAGCUAUACAUUUAUGGUUUUGUAACUUUCUAGUAUGCCUCUUAUAUUUCUGUGAAUACAUUUACUGUUCUAAGUGUAUAUGAAAAUGAAAAGGUAUGAUUUUUUUCUUGUUGACCCUAGAAAAAUGGCCACAAAGGAUGAUGUUCUCUGGGAUAAGCAGAGAUGAUGUGUCCCUGAUGACUGAAGGCUUGAUUAGUUCUCCCAUUUCCACUAUCUCCCUUCUCCCAUUUGCUUCAGUCUCCAUUCUUGGUGGAGCUUCUGCAAUCCACAAACAUUUUGCAAUGUGAUUGGCAUUAUGAUUGCUUAGAAGCAAUCCCGUGGGAUUGGCAGUAACAGUGCUCUUGUUCUAAAUCUGGUUCUACCUGGUUGACCAGAUGGCUUAUUUUAGCCUCUGUUUCUUAUACAGAGUCAGAAAAAUAGGUCAGGGGCCUGCUCCUUGGUCUGUGGUUGGUACUCUUGUUCCUACUUACCAUUAGUCUGGCACUUGACAUAAGCUGCCCUGGGGCCCACAGAGAUGCCACCACCAUGCAUAGCCCAGCCACAGUCUGGACCAUAAGACUUCCAACUUCCUGCACAGCUGUGGCGUUUAGUGGUCAGUACCUGGGUAUUCAUGGACAUCUCUAUCAUGCACUUCAGGGGAACUGGACACAGGUCCUGGCCUCUCCAGGAAGCCCCACCCCUCUAGUACUGCUCCAUCCCACCAUACCUCAGUCAAGGGAAACCCAAAUCCCUAGGGCGUAGAUCUCCUGAAGGGGUGAAGGGACAAAACAACAUCUCCAAUUGUCUGAGAAUGAGACUGGGGGAGGAAGAAGAAAUAACUAAGUUCUACCAGGUUGUUUGCCCUACCCACUAAAACCCAGGCACUAUGCCCUUUUCCAUGGAAUGUUCAGAGAAAAUGAAGCUCCUGCCUCUAAGCACCUGACAGGCCCAAUUGAGAAUGUAAGUGCAUCCCUGAGUUUAAGAAAACACUAAAACAAAAACUGGCCAGAAAAGCUAGUGUUUGAAGAAGCAGCAGAGGCCUGGUCCCCUCUCCAGUUGAUCUUGCAUACUCUACCAUGUUACCAUUUCCACAUUACCACUUUUAUCAGACCUUUAGGCCCUCCACAUAGAAGUUUCGUUUCACCCACACAGUAUUUGUCUGCCCUGCAAUUAAAUACAUUUUAAAAUUUGUUGUUAACAUUUAAAAAUUGAGAUAAUUCAACUUUUAAAAAUCCAGAUUUCUGACCUUUCUUGAAAAAUCUAAAGAUCUAGCGACACAGAGUGUUUGACUCCUAUAAGCCAGCAAUUGGCAGAAGUUGAGCAGGGGCUGUCCCCUUUAGAUGGAGCUCUCCAGCUGCCAUAGUCCCUACUACCUAUUGUCCCCACUUACUAUUGCCUCACACCCCUUUAGUUUGCCCUUGAUCUUGAAAGAUUUCCUUGUUUCUACAAUUCAGGGUUGACAGUUAUCUUCUCCUAGAACUUUGCAGACACUCCCUGUCUUCUGGCAAUUUUCAGCAUAAUUUCUAUUUCCCUGUAGAUAAUUUGUCUUUUCUCUGUGGCUUCUUUUAAGAUCUCCUUUUUGUCUCUAGUGAUCAGCAGUUUCACUGUGAUGUUUCUAAUAUUUCUGUUAAUUUUCCUGCUUAUUGAUUUUGGGGAGUUCUUACAUCUAAAGGUUGUGUAUUUUUGAUUCUGGAAAAAAUUCCAUCAUUAUUUCUUUAGUUAUUGCCUCUGAACCAUUUUCUCUAUUUUUUAUUUCUGGAAAUCUGAGUAGGCAUGUGCUAGACUUUUGGUUUAUUCUAUCCUCCACAUCCCUUAGUCUCAUUUGCAUUUCCUGUAACCUUUUUUCUGUCAGUGUUGCAUUUUGGGUAAUUUCUUUGUGUCCAUCUUUCAAUUCACUAAUUGUAUCUUUAUCUCUCUCUUUUAUUGUUUAACUGGCCUACUGAAUUAUUGUUGGUAGUCUCUUACUUCCUACUCAUACUUUCAAUACCUUCUUUUAUUUCUAGAAACAUACUGAACAACCUUAUUUUAUGUUUUGAGUCUUCUAAUUCAUUAUCUGAAUCUUCAUUUUAUUAUUUUGCCAAUUUUUGCCAUUUUAUUAUUUUUGCAGUUAAGUGAUGUCUUAAACUGCAAAUUCAAAUUCCUUGGAAUUCUGGAGGAACUGUCUUAGUCUUGGGUCUAGAGAGCAUGCUGCUACAGGUGAUUUGCUUUUUACAAGUGUCUAAGGGAAUUACCAACCUGGGACCACUUUAAAAUAAUGUUUGGCUUGAAGGUUUUCACUCACAAAGGUGGUAUGAAUUCCUGUCCCAAAUGCAUGAAUGUGGGCUUUUGGUUAGGAAUUCUUAGGGGAAACUUUUGUCUUUGUUUUGGUUCCACUCUGAGCUAAAAUGAGGUAUCUUAAGGCAAAUUGACUAUCUAUGGCAAGCAUUCCUUUGUUUCCUUUGGGGAGAAAAGUCCAACCACCCUUGCUGAAAUUUCCACCCUUUGAGGGCUCUGGUGUGCAUAAGGAUUUCCAAUCUGAUUUCACCCUCUGCUCCAGUCUAGAUUUUGUCUCCUAUCUCCAGCCUGCUGCUUGGCCAGUAUUAGCAGGUGGCUUCAGGGCAAGUGCUGGCUCCUGCUCACCUCUCGGGAUUAACACUUUCUCAUUGUUCGACCUCAGAGGAGUUUCCUCCCAUUCCUGCCAGCCCAGCCUUGCUACAAAACAUGUUUUAAUAGUUUCCCCAGUAUCUUAGGGGUUUUGAGUUGGCAGAUUUCUCCAGAAUCUGCUUUGCCAUGUUGCUAGAGACAUGGCACUCACUUUUCUAGCAUCAUUUUCCAGUAGUUCCCCAGAAUCCUUUGCAUAUCCUAUUUCUUCUUCCUAGACAACCCUUCCUCAUCUUCUCCAUUUGCUAAAUCAUAUUAUGGUGGGCAGAAUUCUAAGAUAGCUCCCAAUAUUCCUGGCUCUCGGGAUAUGCACACUUUCAGUCAUUCAAACAUGAAUCUAAGUGUUGCUGCGGAGAGCUUUUGCGGAUGUAAUUAAGGUCCCAAAUCUGUUGACCUUAAAAUAAGGAGAUGAUCUAGGCAGGCCUGCCCUAAUCACAUGGGCCUUUUAAAAGCAGAGAGUUUUGUCUGAAUGGCAGCAGAAGAGAAAUUGAUAGAGCUGUGCUCUGGCUGCCCUGGAAGAAAGCAAGUGUCCACACCACGAACUUCCCAUGGGACCACAUGGCAAGGAACUUCCUAUGGGGCCACCCUAGGAGCUGAGGGGGGAGGGUCUCUGGCCAACAGCUAGCAAGAAAAUGAGGACCUCAAUCCUAUUAUAACUGUAAGGAAAUAAAUUCUGCCACAAAGCAAUGAUCUUGGAUGAGGACACUGAGCCCAGAUAGGAAAUGCAGCCCUGACCACCACCUUGAUUGAUUUCUUUUUUUCCUUUGAGAAAGGGGUCUUGCUCUGUCACCUAGGCUGGAGUGCAGUGGCAUGAGCAUGGAUCACUGUAGCCUUGACCUCCAGGUCUCAGGUGAUCCACCCACCUCAGCCUUCCAAGUAGCUGGACCAGGCAUGUGUCACCAUGCCUGGUUAAUUUUUGUAUUUUUUGUAGAGACGGGGUCUCACCAUGUUGUCCAGGCUGGUCUCGAACUCCUGGGCUCAAGCUAUUGGCCCGCCUCCACCUCCAAAAGUGCUGGGAUUACAGGCGUGAGCCACUGUACCCAGCCCCACCAUCUUGAUUUUGAAAACUGGCCCAAUUGUCCCAUAGAACUGAUAUUUAUUGUUUCUUUUGAAUAAACAUGGAAAUUGACCCCUCAAGUCUUGAAACUUGAGAAAUUACAUUUUUGUUAUCUGGGUUCCUUUCUCUGGAAACCAUCGGGCCUUCCAGGUAGUAUCAAGGAACAGAAACUUACAUAUCACUGAAUCUGGACAAUGAGAUGCCAGACUCCUCAUCUGCCAGAAGACCACUUGCUUACUGUUGACCAACUCCUCUUCCUUACUCCUUCCUAAUUCCUAUUUUCACAGCCGUGGUUACAUUUCUUCCUUGGUAUUUAAACCCCUAAUUUUAUUUAUUUAUUUAUUUUUAUCUAUUUAUUUAUUUUGAAAUGGAAUUUCGCUCUUGUCACUCAGGCUGGAGCGCAAUGGCACAAUCUCGGCUCACUGAAACCUCCACCUCCUGGGUUCAAGCGAUUCUCCUGCCUCAGCCUCCUAAGUAGCUGAGACUAAAGGCACAUGCCAUCAUG